AUUCAGCUCUUAGAGUGUCCCCUGCUGGAUAAUUUGCAGAACACAUGCCCAGGGAUUCCGAGCUUGAAACUUAAAUGGAAAAACAAUAUUGCAUAUAACCAUACAUUUUGCUUAACAGUUUGCAUGGGGUGAAGCCUUUGCAGAUGAUCCAGGGUGGGUUCAGUCCCGAAGUCACAGUCCAGUGGAGUCCUCAAAGCAACCAAUCAGUGGUCCAUCAAGGAAGAAAGAUGAACAGAUGUAGAGUCUUGCUGCCCUUUUUCUUGAUUGAUGCACCUGCAUUUCCUUCAGCCAAGCAGCUCUCCACUUGACGAGACAUGAUCCUCACCUGCCCUGAGCUUAAUCCAGCUGAGUGACCACAAACCUCCUCCCAGACCUAACAAGCCCCAUGAUCUCCACCUGGUCCACUAACGAGCUGGGCUGUGUUUCCUUGCCUGCCUCAAACUCCUAGAAGACGUCCUGCUGUUCCUAACACCUCAGAGCCCACAGUGUCUGCAGAGAUGGGACUACCUCUGGUUUGGAUGAAGUGCCCCCUUCUCCUGAUGUCCUGUGAGUACCUCCUAAGCCCCCAACCUCCCCUUCCCCAUCUUCAGCCUGUCCUGAUGUGUACUAAUCAGAGCCAUCCACCUCGCUGGGAUCCUCUUCCCCUUUCUUGGUUGGCUGCCAGUUUAUGGCAGCCAGCAGGCCUAGUACCUGAAGCCAGGUCCCUGUAGAACAUGCCCAGUUUGUGUACAUGAC